CGGGCUGUAGUGUACCGGUAACACGCUUGCAUGGGGUGCAAGAGAUUUAGAGGGUUCGACUCCCUCCAGCCCGACCA
rnacentral:tRNA from 1 species